AUGCUUUCUCGGUCGAUCGGCGUUGAUGUCGAGUAUACCAGGGAAGACGAACCUCCGCAAAUGGCUGCAGUUCUGCAGUUAUGCGUGGAGGAUCUUGUCCUGGUAUACCACAUCACCGUGGCAACCAAAUGGCCCAAGGAACUCCGCCCGCUCCUGCAGGAGAAGAAGCUGUACACCUUUGUUGGCUUCUCCAUUGGAGGUGACAAGGAGAAGCUGAAGUUGUCUGGUUUGGAGAUCAACCCCGAAAAGUACGUCGACAUGCAGCGCAAAUGGAGAGUUCCAAACAAUGGAAAGAAGUGGCAGUCUUUGGCUGAGUUUGCAGCCAGCCUCAUCCACCCAUCCUACAAGGAAAUUAAGCAGAAGAUCAACAAGAAAUUGGACCACAAACGAUGGGGGGACAGCCCACUGCCAAACAACCUCAUCGAGUAUGCAGCGAAAGAUGCGUACGUCACCUACGAGGCAUGGAAGAAAAUCGAAACCAUCAAAGAAGGUUUGAAGCAAUGGCAAGAGGCGGAGGAUCAUUGGGAUGACCCCUACUACUGGGGAUAUUGA
rnacentral:rRNA from 1 species